rnacentral:rRNA from 1 species
GCUCAGAACGAACGCUGGCGGCAGGCUUAACACAUGCAAGUCGAGGGGUAACAGAAGGAAGCUUGCUUCUUUGCUGACGACCGGCGCACGGGUGCGUAACACGUAUGCAACUUACCUCUAACAGGGGGAUAGCCCAGAGAAAUCUGGAUUAAUACCCCAUAACAUUGCGAGAUCACAUGUUUUUGCAAUUAAAGCUCCGGCGGUUAGAGAUAGGCAUGCGGCCCAUUAGUUUGUUGGUAAGGUAACGGCUUACCAAGACUACGAUGGGUAGGGGUUCUGAGAGGAUGACCCCCCACACUGGUACUGAGACACGGACCAGACUCCUACGGGAGGCAGCAGUGAGGAAUAUUGGUCAAUGGAGGAAACUCUGAACCAGCCAUCCCGCGUGAAGGAUGACGGCCCUAGUGGUUGUAAACUUCUUUUAUAUGGGAAUAAACCUGAGUACGUGUACUCAGCUGAAGGUACCAUACGAAUAAGGAUCGGCUAACUCCGUGCCAGCAGCCGCGGUAAUACGGAGGGUGCGAGCGUUAAUCGGAAUUACUGGGCGUAAAGCGUG